GGUCCUGUAGUGUAGCGGUUAUCACAUGGGAUUCUGAUCUCGAGGAAUAUACCUGUCACUCUAACUUUCCCAUGACCCAGGUUCGAUUCCUGGCAGGACCU